rnacentral:rRNA from 1 species
CCUACGGGACGCAGCAGCGGGGAAUAUUGCACAAUGGGGGAAACCCUGAUGCAGCGACGCCGCGUGAGUGAAGAAGUAUUUCGGUAUGUAAAGCUCUAUCAGCAGGGAAGAUAAUGACGGUACCUGAGUAAGAAGCCCCGGCUAACUACAUGCCAGCAGCCGCGGUAAUACGUAGGGGGCAAGCGUUAUCCGGAUUUACUGGGUGUAAAGGGAGCGUAGACGGCAUGGCAAGUCUGAAGUGAAAUCCCGGGGCUUAACCCCGGAACUGCUUUGGAAACUGUGCGGCUGGAGUGCAGGAGGG